UGCCAGACUCCUACGGGAGGCAGCAGUGGGGAAUAUUGCACAAUGGGGGAAACCCUGAUGCAGCGACGCCGCGUGAGCGAUGAAGUAUUUCGGUAUGUAAAGCUCUAUCAGCAGGGAAGAAAAUGACGGUACCUGACUAAGAAGCCCCGGCUAACUACGUGCCAGCAGCCGCGGUAAUACGUAGGGGGCAAGCGUUAUCCGGAUUUACUGGGUGUAAAGGGAGCGUAGACGGUCCUGCAAGCCAGAUGUGAAAGCCCGGGGCUCAACCCCGGGACUGCAUUUGGAACUGUAAGGCUAGAGUGUCGGAGAGGCGGGCGGAAUUCCUAGUGUAGCGGUGAAAUGCGUAGAUAUUAGGAGGAACACCAGUGGCGAAGGCGGCCUACUGGACGGUGACUGACGCUGAGGCUCGAAAGCGUGGGGAGCAAACAGGAUUAGAUACCCGUGUA
rnacentral:rRNA from 1 species